UACGGAGGAUGCAAGCGUUAUCCGGAAUGAUUGGGCGUAAAGCGUCCGCAGGUGGCUGUGUAAGUCUGCUGUUAAAGAGUCUAGCUCAACUAGAUACAAGCAGUGGAAACUACACGGCUAGAGUACGUUCGGGGCAGAGGGAAUUCCUGGUGUAGCGGUGAAAUGCGUAGAGAUCAGGAAGAACACCAGUGGCGAAGGCGCUCUGCUAGGCCGUAACUGACACUGAGGGACGAAAGCUAGGGGAGCGAAUGGG
rnacentral:rRNA from 1 species